rnacentral:rRNA from 1 species
AGUGAACGCUGGCGGUAGGCCUAACACAUGCAAGUCGAACGGCAGCACAGUAAGAGCUUGCUCUUACGGGUGGCGAGUGGCGGACGGGUGAGGAAUACAUCGGAAUCUACUUUUUCGUGGGGGAUAACGUAGGGAAACUUACGCUAAUACCGCAUACGACCUACGGGUGAAAGCAGGGGAUCUUCGGACCUUGCGCGAUUGAAUGAGCCGAUGUCGGAUUAGCUAGUUGGCGGGGUAAAGGCCCACCAAGGCGACGAUCCGUAGCUGGGCUGAGAGGAUGAUCAGCCACACUGGAAGUGAGACACGGUCCAGACUCCUACGGGAGGCAGCAGUGGGGGAUAUUGGACAAUGGGCGCAAGCCUGCUCCAGCCAUACCGCGUGGGUGGAGAAGGCCUUCGGGUUGUAAAGCCCUUUUGUUGGGAAAGAAAAGCAGCAGGUUAAUACCCCGCUGUUCUGACGGUACCCAAAGAAUAAGCACCGGCUAAAUUCGUG